rnacentral:rRNA from 1 species
UACGUAGGGGGCGAGCGUUGUCCGGAUUUAUUGGGCGUAAAGAGCGUGUAGGCGGCCAGGUAGGUCUGCUGUGAAAACUCGAGGCUCAACCUCGAGACGUCGGCGGAAACCAUCUGGCUAGAGUCCGGAAGAGGAGAGUGGAAUUCCUGGUGUAGCGGUGAAAUGCGCAGAUAUCAGGAAGAACACCCGUGGCGAAGGCGGCUCUCUGGGACGGUACUGACGCUGAGACGCGAAGGUCUGGGGAGCAAACGGG